rnacentral:rRNA from 1 species
AGUGAACGCUGGCGGCGUGCUUAACACAUGCAAGUCGAACGAGAACGGAUUAUAGCUUGCUAUAAUUGUCAGCUAAGUGGCGCACGGGUGAGUAAUGUAUAGGUAAUAUGCCUCUUACUAAGGGAUAACAAUUGGAAACGAUUGCUAAUACCUUAUAUUCCUUUUUAUCAAAAGAUAAAAAGGGAAAGAUUUAUUGGUAAGAGAUUAGCCUGUAUUGUAUCAGUUAGUUGGUGGGGUAAUGGCCUACCAAGACAAUGACGCAUAACUGGUUUGAGAGGAUGAUCAGUCACACUGGAACUGAGACACGGUCCAGACUCCUACGGGAGGCAGCAGUGGGGAAUAUUGCACAAUAGACGAAAGUCUGAUGCAGCAACGCCGCGUGGAGGAUGACACAUUUCGGUGCGUAAACUCCUUUUAUAUAAGAAGAUAAUGACGGUAUUAUAUGAAUAAGCACCGGCUAACUCCGUGCCAGCAGCCGCGGUAA